rnacentral:rRNA from 1 species
CCCUUAGAUGUUCUGGGCCGCACGCGUGCUACACUGAGUGGAUCAGCGGGUCAGGUUGCGCGAAAGUGUUUCCUAAUCUUGAAAUCCGCUCGUGAUGGGGAUUGACGGUUGCAAUUUUCCGUCAUGAACGAGGAAUACCUUGUAAGCGCGGGUCAUCAUCCCGCGCUGAAUACGUCCCUGCCCUUUGUACACACCGCCCGUCGCUCCUACCGAUUGAGUGGUCCGGUGAGGCUUUGGGAUCUGAGCGGAAAGAGCGUUUCGCUGUUUCUGCUCGGAGAACUCAGUCGAACCUUAUCAUUUAGAGGAAGGAGAAGUCGUAACA